AGUAUCCAGAACCAUGGGUGCCCAGGUUUCAGUCGUCAAUCAGACUCCUUACACCUGGUACUUUGCCACUCAAGACAGAGGGUAUACAUACAUCGGUCCUGGCAGCACAACAUCCUAUAAAGAGUCUCUGGCAAUCCAUCGCUACAUCCACAUCAGAUAUGAAAAUCACUCGUGGAAUAGUUUUUCAUACGAGUUUAACACCCAUAAAGGUGACACAUCUUUUAUCCUAAGAGAAACCUACGACCGUUCCCAGAUUCAGUUGCACUGCACCUCUGAAGGCGGCACUCAUUACUGUCCCAACUACGGAAAAAUUAAAGAAGAUGAAAACCGGAGACAGCAGCAGGAGGAGGAGAGAAGACGUCAGGAACGACAAAUCGAAGAAGAUAACAAACGGAGACAGCAAGAAGAGGAGAGAAGACGUCUGGAACGUUUGGAACGUGAACAAAGGAUUCAAAAGGAGCUGGACAGAGAGAGUGAACUGUCCAGACGCAAGCUUUCUCGAGCAACUGUGCGGCUUCGUGAAAAACAGAGCUUCAGAGGUCAUGAGAAACAUCAUGAACGUAUACAAGUUCUCCAACAGCAAAUAGAAGAUGAUGCUGCUGCGAUCGAGAGGAACGAGAUCCAGACAAACUUUGAGUCGUACACCCCCCUGCUUAUUCUCCAGAGAGGAUACGACUUCUGUCACAAAAACCCCAGUAAAUACAGCAUAACUGGAGGAAGUAUAAAGAAGACCGACGUUGCUCUGCAGAAAUACUUACAGAGUGUUAAAUUCAUCAGAAGUGGCGAACAAGUCCUCAUCAAAAUGUACCAGCUUGGAUUUGUUGGUAAAUAUAAAAGUGUUGUAAGUGCUCUGAGGUCCAGUAAGAACACCACAGGGACACUUAACACAAGCCACAUUCCACCGAAGGACUCCAUCAGACUUGCUGAGUCUUUCAUAGAUAACCCAAACUCAGUGAGUGAGCUUAAAAAUAAAAACCUGCCGCUUUAUAAACUAAUCAGCAGCAUAAAGACUGACAAUAAUGGAUGGAACCUGAUUGCCAUGGAGGUUCUGGGACAAGAUCACAGACGAGCUUUAACUACGGGCCCAAGCAGCCGCUCACAGACGGCCAGGAAACUUCUAGCAGACACCAUAAUUAGUGGAGACGUGGAGCUUCUGCUGAAACGCUGCAUGAUUCUACAUCACCCGCUCACCUCACAAAAGCUGAGAGAAGCUCUAGGUGAAAGCAUUCCCUCUCAGUGCCACGUUUUGUCCGAUGAAGGUAUCCGAGGCUACUACAAAGCAGGAUACAGAAACCUGGUGUCAGAGUACAGCCGCAUGGGAAUCCUGGAUCAGAACCAGUGUGAGCGUCUGGACGAGUGGGUGACUCAGGACCAGCACGAGGACACUAACACUGCAGAGUACAGCCAGGUUCUGCAGGGGUUACAGUAAAAAUGCUUAGUGAAUACAAUUUCUCUUCAGUGCCUUAUGAUAAACAUGAUGGUGCACUGAAAUUGCAUCGAUUGCAAUAAAUAAAUAAAUGGAAAAUUAUUUUAGCA
ensembl:lncRNA